rnacentral:rRNA from 1 species
UACGUAUGGUGCAAGCGUUAUCCGGAUUUACUGGGUGUAAAGGGAGCGUAGGCGGCGCGUUAAGUCUGAUGUGAAAACCCGAGGCUCAACCACGGGAGUGCAUUGGAAACUGGCGUGCUGGAGUGCCGGAGAGGUAAGCGGAAUUCCUAGUGUAGCGGUGAAAUGCGUAGAUAUUAGGAGGAACACCAGUGGCGAAGGCGGCUUACUGGACGGCAACUGACGCUGAGGCUCGAAAGCGUGGGGAGCAGACAGG